rnacentral:rRNA from 1 species
CGUGAGUGAUGAAGGUUUUCGGAUCGUAAAGCUCUGUUGCCAAGGAAGAACGUCUUCUAGAGUAACUGCUAGGAGAGUGACGGUACUUGAGAAGAAAGCCCCGGCUAACUACGUGCCAGCAGCCGCGGUAAUACGUAGGGGGCAAGCGUUGUCCGGAAUUAUUGGGCGUAAAGCGCGCGCAGGCGGUUCUUUAAGUCUGGUGUUUAAACCCGAGGCUCAACUUCCGGUCGCACUGGAAACUGGGGGACUUGAGUGA